GGUUCACCAUGCUAGCACAUGGUGUCUGCACAUCUGCUCUGCAGCACAGCCAAGAAGGAAUAGAGAGGAAUGGAGAUAGGGGGAAAUGGUUAUCUCUUUCCUGACUUGUAAAGGUAUUGAAUUACCCAAUUACCAUAUUAAAGGGUAAAGCUUAACCCCCUGUAAGAAAGUCAUACAUGAACUUUGUUCACAUGACCCCUAGUCACCAUAUUAGUUUU